rnacentral:tRNA from 1 species
GGGCUAUUAGCUCAGUGGUAGAGCGCACCGCUGAUAACGGUGAGGUCGUAGGUCCGAAUCCUGCAUAGCCC